UUUCGAUGAUGAAAAACCUUUUACCAGUUCUGCUACUGAAUUUUAGUGAUGAGUUUUAGGGCUGAGAAA